rnacentral:lncRNA from 1 species
UACUGAUGUCCUUAUCAUUGGGAACGGGUGGCAGUUCGACAUCAUGUUCUUUUAACAACUGCAACUCGUUCUGGGUGUAAGAGAAACAUUCGUCCAUACGACCAAUGCCUUCUACAUCAUGCACGGUUGCGGUGUCGAACUGCGAUCCAUCCUCUUCAUAUUCUAUCUCCUCGUCCUCAUUUUCAUGCCCACCACUCUGAGAUAGUGACUCCUCCUCUGCCUCGACACCUACUACCC